rnacentral:lncRNA from 1 species
AGGCAGAUGGGGCCCAACUGUGUUCUCAUAAUGAGAGCCACUGGGGACUUCUUAGCGGUCUGGUUCCUCCCUCUUUGUAGCCUUAGUGCUUCUGUCUCCUGUACCUAUUUAAGGAAGGAUAAACCUGAGAAGGUCUCCCCUGGGAGUGUGAGGCCCCCUGUGCCGGUCAGGAGAGUGUGGGUUGGGCCCAAGAAAAGCUUCCAGAACUGAAUGCCCCGAAUAAGCAUUGUGGCACAUGGUUGGAAGAGGCUCACAUUGUUCUGUGGUUCCUCACGCGGCAUCGCUCCCAAGUUCCGAGCCGAAAUUCUGCUUCAAUCGGGUGCUGAGUAGUGAGAGACUCCGGGGUAAGGAGGAUGAAGAAUCUCCCAGAAACAGUCCUCACAGAACAGACAAGGGAACAUCAAUAACACAAGCCCACCCACACACCAUCAAUAGAGGCAGGAUGACCUCAGAAUGACUUCCUCACCAAUAACAUUAAGGUGAAUAUCAGUGGUCCUCUAAUUAUGUCUUCUAAGAAGGUGGUUCUAAAAAACUAAAAAUGAUCUGGAAGAGACUCAAAACAGAGAUCCUCACACAUUCUCUCAGACAAUAAAACUUCACUGGACUCUGGACAUGGAACAAAGGACAUGCACUUUACAGAGGGAAAGACAAUUUCGACUUCGGCACCCGAAGGAUGAAAAGAGAUCUUUCUAAUCAGAAUAAUAAAAGGAUGCAUCUCAGUGAGUGUCUCUCCAUAGUACGCUUGUAGCACUUUUGUCUACUCAGACUUUACACAUCGAUUUUCUGUUACGCCAGAUGAAAAUGUAAUACUUCUGUGUUCCUCCGCCCUCAACCUCUAGUCCUCUUCUCCCAUAG